rnacentral:lncRNA from 1 species
GGGGGUUUUUUUGCAUUUGGCUUCCUCAAAAAAAAUAUAUUUUUAUAAAUAAUAUUAUUAAAUUUAUAAUUAUAAUUUUGAUCCUAUUCUAGCUACACAGACGUCACGUAAGCGCUACGCAAGUCAAUGCUGGAAUAAGUUGGACACGGUCAUUCACCGUGUCUAAACACGAGGAAUAAUUUACCGUGUCUAAGAAAAUAUAUUUAUUAUAAAAAAAUAUAAGUAUUGAACAGAAAAAAUAUAAAUAUGGAAUAUGAUGAACCAUUCACCGUGUUUAAACAGGUGAAUGAUUUGCCGUAUUCAACUUAAUGCCUCUCUCGAGCCAACUUGUGUGGCGUUGAUAUAGUGCCUGCGUGGCUGAGAUAGGACCAAAAUUAUAAUUAUAAAUUUAAAAGAGUUAUUUGUGAAAAACAAAAAAUUGAGGAUG